rnacentral:rRNA from 1 species
AUGAACGCUAGCGAUAGGCUUAACACAUGCAAGUCGAGGGGCAGCACAAGGUAGCUUGCUAUCUGGGUGGCGACCGGCGCACGGGUGCGUAACGCGUAUGCAACUUGCCCUAUACAGGAGGAUAACCCGUCGAAAGACGGACUAAUACUGCGUAUGCUCACAACUUGGCAUCAAGUGGUGAGGAAAGAAAUUCGGUAUAGGAUAGGCAUGCGUCCCAUUAGCUUGUUGAUGAGGUAACGGCUCACCAAGGCAACGAUGGGUAGGGGAACUGAGAGGUUUAUCCCCCACACUGGUACUGAGACACGGACCAGACUCCUACGGGAGGCAGCAGUGAGGAAUAUUGGUCAAUGGGCGCGAGCCUGAACCAGCCAAGUCGCGUGAAGGAUGACUGUCUUAUGGAUUGUAAACUUCUUUUAUACGGGAAUAACAAGAGUCACGUGUGACUCCCUGCAUGUACCGUAUGAAUAAGCAUCGGCUAACUCCGUG